rnacentral:rRNA from 1 species
AGAGUUGAUCCUGGCUCAGGAUAAACGCUGGCGGCGUGCAUAACACAUUCAAGUCGAACGAAGCUCCGGACCUUGCUUGCAAGGGAAGGAAGACUUAGUGGCGGACGGGUGAGUAACGCGUGAGCAAUCUGCCUUGGGGUGCGGGAUAACGUUUGGAAACGGACGCUAAUACCGCAUGACGCAUGGAUAUCGCAUGGUGACCAUGCCAAAGAUUUAUUGCCCUGAGAUGAGCUCGCGUCCGAUUAGAUAGUUGGUGAGGUAACGGCUUACCAAGUCAGCGAUCGGUAGCCGGACUGAGAGGUUGAACGGCCACAUUGGAACUGAGAUACGGUCCAGACUCCUACGGGAGGCAGCAGUGGGGAAUAUUGGGCAAUGGGCGAAAGCCUGAACCCCAGCGACGCCGCGUGAGGGAAGAAGGUCUUCGGAUUGUAAACCUCUUUCAGCAGGGAAGAAGGAAGUGACGGUACCUGCAGAAGAAGCCACGGCUAACUACGUGCCAGCCGCCGC